UGCAUUUUCUCUCUCUUCAGUUCAAGCUAAAUGCAAAGGUGGACAAACGGCAUACGAUAAACUCUGCUCAGCCCAAUAUGGCUGCAUUGCUACUGCAGAAUAGCUCAAUGGUAUCUUCUGAACAGACCCCAGACGGCGGAAUAACAAAUGGAUAUGCAGAAGGAUUAGUCAAUCUGAAGACCCUAUAAACGGGAUUUGAAUGAACCAGUGGAUGUUUUAAUUGGAGGCUUAACCUAGGAUGGCUUGAGAAUUAACCACGGAACAUUCUGAAGGUCUCGUACCAACUGAAAUGGCAGGGGUGAUGACCCAAUCACCUUGUGAUUGAACAGCCGGUAUGGAGGUACAAGUGUGCCUUAACACUUAAGAUGAAAUGGCCCAAUCUAGGUCCCUUGAUGGGAAUGUCAAUCUGUCUUAUGAAUGGCAUUGACCAACUACACUUCAACAUUGAUAUACCCGUAAUACGGGUUUUAAGGUCUUGUGAAAAAUGAUUGAGGCCUGCCAUACAUCAUAACAUCCAAUCACAUUGACGUGGGAAUUCUACUAACGAGCUGCUGCUCGAAAAAUGGAUAAGGCCUACAUCCUAAUGAGUGAAGCUAAAUAAAACCAUAUUAUUUGUGCCUUGGUAUAAGCUCAUCACAUCCCAUGAGCCAGGUUGAGUGAAACAAUCCUCACUUGUAAAACCCUUUUUACUGCAAUAAAGAUGAAUUAACCCUG